rnacentral:rRNA from 1 species
CCCUUAGACGUUCUGGGCCGCACGCGCGCUACACUGACCAGUGCAACAAGCAUCCGUCCUUGGCCGACAGGCUCGGGCAAUCUUUGAACGCUGGUCGUGAUGGGGAUAGACUUUUGCAAUUUUUGGUCUUCAACGAGGAAUUCCUAGUAAACGCAAGUCAUCAACUUGCAUUGAUUACGUCCCUGCCCUUUGUACACACCGCCCGUCGCACCUACCGAUUGAAUGGUCCGGUGAAGCCUCCGGAUUGGCGCGCACCUCGGUGCCGCCGAGAAGUUGACUAAACCUUACCAUUUAGAGGAAGGUGAAGUCGUAACA